rnacentral:misc_RNA from 1 species
AAGUCGUAACAAGGUCUCCGUAGGUGAACCUGCGGAGGGAUCAUUAACACGUGUAAAAACGUAUUACUAUACCUAACUAACCAAUACCGUGAACUAUGUUUUUAUUAUUAACAUUUUUUAUCUUUUUACUUGUUACUAUUUAACGAUAGUAAUGAGUGAAUUCUUAACCUUUUCCAAUUUCUUCUUUUUUUUGUUAUUGUAUUGUAUAGUGUUCAUGGUAUUUUACUAUGAUUCUGUAUGAUCAUACAUAUAAAAUAAAAAAAUCAAAAGCACAACUCUUAGCAACGGAUAUCUUGGUUCUC